GAAGUGUGGACGCCAGUCUGCAUGGAGCCGACCUUGAAAUACCACCCUUUAAUGUUUGAUGUUCUAACGUGGACCCGUAAUCCGGGUUGCGGACAGUGUCUGGUGGGUAGUUUGACUGGGGCGGUCUCCUCCUAAAGAGUAACGGAGGAGCACGAAGGUUGGCUAAUCCUGGUCGGACAUCAGGAGGUUAGUGCAAUGGCAUAAGCCAGCUUGACUGCGAGCGUGACGGCGCGAGCAGGUGCGAAAGCAGGUCAUAGUGAUCCGGUGGUUCUGAAUGGAAGGGCCAUCGCUCAACGGAUAAAAGGUACUCCGGGGAUAACAGGCUGAUACCGCCCAAGAGUUCAUAUCGACGGCGGUGUUUGGCACCUCGAUGUCGGCUCAUCACAUCCUGGGGCUGAAGUAGGUCCCAAGGGUAUGGCUGUUCGCCAUUUAAAGUGGUACGCGAGCUGGGUUUAGAACGUCGUGAGACAGUUCGGUCCCUAUCUGCCGUGGGCGCUGGAGAACUGAGGGGGGCUGCUCCUAGUACGAGAGGACCGGAGUGGACGCAUCACUGGUGUUCGGGUUGUCAUGCCAAUGGCACUGCCCGGUAGCUAAAUGCGGAAGAGAUAAGUGCUGAAAGCAUCUAAGCACGAAACUUGCCCCGAGAUGAGUUCUCCCUGAGACUUAGAGUCUCCUGAAGGAACGUUGAAGACGACGACGUUGAUAGGCCGGGUGUGUAAGCGCAGCGAUGCGUUGAGCUAACCGGUACUAAUGAACCGUGAGGCUUAACCUUACA
rnacentral:rRNA from 1 species